rnacentral:rRNA from 1 species
UACGGGAGGCAGCAGUAAGGAGUUUUCGGCAAUGGGGGAAACCCUGACCCAGCAACGCCGCGUGAGGGAAGAAGGUUUUCGGAUCGUAAACCUCUGUCCUUGGUGAAGAGGAAGAGACGGUAGCCAAGGAGGAAGCCCCGGCUAACUACGUGCCAGCAGCCGCGGUAAU